CUUGCAGGCAUUGGAUCUACAGAAAACGAUUAUGUAUUUGAUGAAUCCUCAGGUUACUACUACAGCAUCAGUUUAGGAUAUUAUUAUGACCCAUCUUCAAGAUUGUAUUGCAGUGCAGCAUCUGGACAGUGGUAAUAUAUUAUAUAAUGUGGUCACUAUUUUCAACCUGAUUUAGUAUUAUUUGAAUUAUAGUGAUUUUGAUUUGGAGAUAAAAUGUGGUUAUAUAUAAAGUAAUGUGUUUGUGUUUUGUAUUUUCCAGGUGUUCAUGUAACCAAGAAACUGGUGACUAUGAGGAGUUGCCAUCAGGGGAAGGCAAUGGAAAUGGAAUUGCAACAUAGUGGAAUGGAAUUGGAAUCACAGGUUUCACCACCUGCUGUGCGUGGUACUUAUGGAAGCUUCAUUCAAAUUUCAACAUGUUUAGGGUUGAUGGGAGCUCUUUUAAUCGGGAUUCCAGUAAAGAGCAUCUCAGGCUGGUAACAAAGCUUUGUCUACCUCUAAAACUGUAAUUAACAUUUUGGAUUUGGAUUCAUUUUUUGAAUGUAUGUCCAGGUGGCGUAUCUGCUUUUGGUUAUCUACAAUUCCAUCCACAAUACUUGCUCUUGCUAUGAUAUUAUGUGAAUAAAGUCCACAUUGGCUUUACAAGGUCUGUUAAGUGUCAUCGUCUUCAUUUCUAUUUGUUGAUAAAACAAGGGCAUAUGAGUAAUGCUGAAAUUUGGGUGCAUAAUAUGUGCAUCGAUCAACUGAUAGAAAAAAAUUCAGCGAUUAUGUGUAUAAUUUGGGUGCAAGGAAAAUUAAUUUCACCAAAAGUUUGUGAUCAAGAGAAGUAAAAUCAUCAGCAAAAAGUGUAAUCAGUUCAGAUUUUUAUUCCGUUUGAUACUUGAAAAUCUACUUAAUGGCUAUGGGGCGAGCUGGAUGCAAAGUAAAAUUGGUGAUUUGGGUUCCAAUACAACAUUAAAGGAACAUCAUUUGUCAUUACUAUUUAAGUGUGAUGGAUUUGAUAAAGCAUCAUCAAGAAGAAUCAACUGGCGUACCAAUGAUGAUAUUUCAUUGAAUUAUUUUCUUGGCUUAAA